rnacentral:rRNA from 1 species
CCCGCUGAACUUAAGCAUAUCAAUAAGCGGAGGAAAAGAAACCAACAGGGAUUGCCCUAGUAACGGCGAGUGAAGCGGCAACAGCUCAAAUUUGAAAUCUGGCUCUUUCAGGGUCCGAGUUGUAAUUUGCAGAGGGCGCUUUGGCUUUGGCAGCGGUCCAAGUUCCUUGGAACAGGACGUCACAGAGGGUGAGAAUCCCGUACGUGGUCGCUAGCUAUUGCCGUGUAAAGCCCCUUCGACGAGUCGAGUUGUUUGGGAAUGCAGCUCUAAAUGGGAGGUAAAUUUCUUCUAAAGCUAAAUACUGGCCAGAGACCGAUAGCGCACAAGUAGAGUGAUCGAAAGAUGAAAAGCACUUUGGAAAGAGAGUCAAACAGCACGUGAAAUUGUUGAAAGGGAAGCGCUUGCAGCCAGACUUGCUUGCAGUUGCUCAUCCGGACUUUUGUCCGGUGCACUCUUCUGCAGGCAGGCCAGCAUCAGUUUGGGCGGUGGGAUAAAGGUCUCUGUCACGUACCUCUCUUCGGGGAGGCCUUAUAGGGGAGACGACAUACCACCAGCCUGGACUGAGGUCCGCGCAUUUGCUAGGAUGCUGGCGUAAUGGCUGUAAGCGGCCCGUCUUGAAACACGGACCAAGGAGUCUAACAUCUAUGCGAGUGUUUGGGUGUCAAGCCCGAACGCGUAAUGAAAGUGAACGGAGGUGGGAACCCGCAAGGGUGCACCAUCGACCGAUCCUGAUGUCUUCGGAAGGAUUUGAGUAAGAGCAUGGCUGUUGGGACCCGAAAGAUGGUGAACUAUGCUUGAAUAGGGUGAAGCCAGAGGAAACUCUGGUGGAGGCUCGCAGCGGUUCUGACGUGCAAAUCGAUCGUCAAAUUUGGGCAUAGGGGCGAAAGACUAAUCGAACUAUCUAGUAGCUGGUUCCUGC